GACGAACGCUGGCGGCGUGCCUAAUACAUGCAAGUCGAACGCUUCUUUCCUCCCGAGUGCUUGCACUCAAUUGGAAAGAGGAGUGGCGGACGGGUGAGUAACACGUGGGUAACCUACCCAUCAGAGGGGGGUAACACUUGGAAACAGGUGCUAAUACCGCAUAACAGUUUAUGCCGCAUGGCAUAAGAGUGAAAGGCGCUUUCGGGUGUCGCUGAUGGAUGGACCCGCGGUGCAUUAGCUAGUUGGUGAGGUAACGGCUCACCAAGGCCACGAUGCAUAGCCGACCUGAGAGGGUGAUCGGCCACACUGGGACUGAGACACGGCCCAGACUCCUACGGGAGGCAGCAGUAGGGAAUCUUCGGCAAUGGACGAAAGUCUGACCGAGCAACGCCGCGUGAGUGAAGAAGGUUUUCGGAUCGUAAAACUCUGUUGUUAGAGAAGAACAAGGACGUUAGUAACUGAACGUCCCCUGACGGUAUCUAACCAGAAAGCCACGGCUAACUACGUG
rnacentral:rRNA from 1 species